rnacentral:rRNA from 1 species
GGCGAACGAGUGAGUAACACGUGAGUAACCUGCCCUUGACUUUGGGAUAACUUCAGGAAACUGGGGCUAAUACCGGAUAGGAGCUCCUGCUGCAUGGUGGGGGUUGGAAAGUUUCGGCGGUUGGGGAUGGACUCGCGGCUUAUCAGCUUGUUGGUGGGGUAGUGGCUUACCAAGGCUUUGACGGGUAGCCGGCCUGAGAGGGUGACCGGCCACAUUGGGACUGAGAUACGGCCCAG